rnacentral:rRNA from 1 species
AACGAACGCUGGCGGCAGGCCUAACACAUGCAAGUCGAGCGCCCCGCAAGGGGAGCGGCAGACGGGUGAGUAACGCGUGGGAAACUACCCUUUGGUACGGAACAACUCGGCGAAAGCUGAGCUAAUACCGUAUGUGUCCUUCGGGAGAAAGAUUUAUCGCCAAAGGAUGUGCCCGCGUCGGAUUAGCUAGUUGGUGGGGUAACGGCCCACCAAGGCGACGAUCCGUAGCUGGUCUGAGAGGAUGAUCAGCCACACUGGGACUGAGACACGGCCCAGACUCCUACGGGAGGCAGCAGUGGGGAAUAUUGGACAAUGGGGGGCAACCCUGAUCCAGCCAUGCCGCGUGAGUGAUGAAGGCCUUAGGGUUGUAAAGCUCUUUCGCCCGCGAAGAUAAUGACUGUAGCGGGAGAAGAAGCCCCGGCUAACUUCGUGCCAGCAGCCGCGGUAAU